rnacentral:rRNA from 1 species
CCUACGGGGGGCUGCAGUGGGGAAUAUUGCACAAUGGGGGGAACCCUGAUCCAGCCAUGCCGCGUGUGUGAAGAAGGCCCUCGGGUUGUAAAGCACUUUCAGUGAGGAAGAACGCCUGGUGGUUAAUACCCUUCACGAAAGACAUCACCCACAGAAGAAGCACCGGCUAACUCCGUGCCAGCAGCCGCGGUAAUACGGAGGGUGCGAGCGUUAAUCGGAAUUACUGGGCGUAAAGCGCGCGUAGGUGGCUUGAUAAGCCGGUUGUGAAAGCCCCGGGCUCAACCUGGGAACGGCAUCCGGAACUGUCAAGCUAGAGUGCAGGAGAGGAGGGUAGAAUUCCCGGUGUAGCGGUGAAAUGCGUAGAGAUCGGGAGGAAUACCAGUGGCGAAGGCGGCCUUCUGGACUGACACUGACACUGAGGUGCGAAAGCGUGGGUAGCAAACAGGAUUAGAUACCCUUGUAGUC